rnacentral:misc_RNA from 1 species
AAGUCGUAACAAGGUUUCCGUAGGUGAACCUGCGGAAGGAUCAUUUUGAGGGCAACUCUGCUCCGCAGAGUUGGUUACUACUCAUGCACCUGUGAACGCAGCACGGCUGCACAUUUGCGUAUGCUUGUGGAUAUUAUCAUAAAUAGAAUGAACAAUACAACCUUUAGCAAUGGAUCUCUUGGCUUCU